rnacentral:rRNA from 1 species
GGAUUAGAUACCCUGGUAGUCCACGCCGUAAACGAUGAGAACUAGAUGUCGGGAGGGUUUCCUUUCGGUGUCGCAGCUAACGCACUAAGUUCUCCGCCUGGGGAGUACGCCGGCAACGGUAAAACUCAAAGGAAUUGACGGGGACCCGCACAAGCGGUGGAGCAUGUGGUUUAAUUCGAUGCAACGCGAAGAACCUUACCUGCCCUUGACAUACUCGGAACUUUCCAGAGAUGGAUUGGUGCCUUCGGGAACCGAGAUACAGGUGCUGCAUGGCUGUCGUCAGCUCGUGCCG